rnacentral:rRNA from 1 species
GACGAACGCUGGCGGCGUGCCUAAUACAUGCAAGUAGGACGCAGUUGCGAACGGGGGAGUAACGCGUAGGUAACUACCUAUUAGAGGGGGAUAACUAUUGGAAACGAUAGCUAAUACCGCAUACUAGUAAAUGGACCUGCGUUGUAUUAGCUAGUAGGUAGGGCAAUGGCCUACCUAGGAAAAGAUACAUAGCCGACCUGAGAGGGUGAUCGGCCACCCUUGGACUGAGACACGGCCCAGCAGCCUCCAGUAGGCAGCAGUAGGGAAUCUUCGGCAAUGGGGGGAACCCUGACCGAGCAACGCCGCGGGAGUGAAGAAGGUUUUCGGAUCGUAAAGCUCUGUUGUUAAGGAAGCGGUACUUAACCAGAAAGGGACGGCUAACUACGUGCCAGCAGCCGCGGUAAUUC